rnacentral:rRNA from 1 species
AUACGGAGGGUGCAAGCGUUACUCGGAAUCACUGGGCGUAAAGCGCGCGCAGGCGGUCUUUUAAGUUGGAUGUGAAAGCCUACGGCUCAACCGUAGAACUGCAUCCAAAACUAUUAGACUAGAGUGUGGGAGAGGAAGAUGGAAUUAGUUGUGUAGGGGUAAAAUCCGUAGAGAUAACUAGGAAUACCAAAAGCGAAGGCAAUCUUCUGGAACACUACUGACGCUAAGGCGCGAAAGCGUGGGGAGCAAACAGGAUUAGAUACCCUAGUAGUCC